rnacentral:rRNA from 1 species
UACGGGGGGGGCAAGCGUUGUUCGGAAUUACUGGGCGUAAAGGGCUCGUAGGCGGCCAACUAAGUCGGAUGUGAAAUCCCCAAGCUUAACUUGGGAACUGCAUCCGAUACUGGAUGGCUUGAAUCCGGGAGAGGGAUGCAGAAUUCCAGGUGUAGCGGUGAAAUGCGUAGAUAUCUGGAGGAACACCGGUGGCGAAGGCGGCAUCCUGGACCAACACUGACACUGAGGAGCGAAAGCCAGGGGAGCAAACAGG